rnacentral:rRNA from 1 species
UACGUAGGGGGCAAGCGUUGUCCGGAUUCAUUGGGCGUAAAGAGCGUGUAGGCGGCCAGGUAGGUCGGUUGUGAAAACUGGAGGCUCAACCUUCAGAGGUCGACCGAAACCAUCUGGCUAGAGUCCGGGAGAGGAGAGUGGAAUUCCUGGUGUAGCGGUGAAAUGCGCAGAUAUCAGGAAGAACACCAGUGGCGAAGGCGGCUCUCUAGUACGGUACUGACGCUGAGACGCGAAAGCGUGGGGAGCGAACAGG